GGACCAAGUCAGAGUACUCCAAACUCUCUGCGACCUCGUUAGUGACAAAUACAGCGACGGCCCUCCUCAACAAUCGGGCUAGCAGGAGCUCUUUCCUGAGAGCGGCGUAUUCAUGUCCUUGUUCCGCCUUGCUGCCAUGAGUCAUGCUUCAAAGCCCAAUUGCAUGCGUUUAUUCCACGCACUUUUUGACCACUUUUUUACAGUUGAGGAGUGUCAAAAUGCUGUCGCUUUUGGUCGCCCUGGAAACAAACCUGCAGGAACAGGAAAGCGCAUCCUUGACCGGAAAAAAGUUGAAGAAAUCCUAACGUAUGUCCUGAGAUGCGGUACCCUUCCUGAUUGGGACAAUAUUGAGGAGGCCAAGCUCAAGCAAGCUUUGGUAAACAAAUGUUGGGCAAGAGCAGGUUUUAAGUAGGCCCUUGUACCUGCCAAGUUCAUUCUGGGGUAGGAUGUUUCCUUUGUAAACAUGUUGAUAUUUUGGUCUGGGGUUGCGCAGUAUAUAUUGUAUAAAAAUGCCCUAUGAUGUAGCUUUUAGUACCACGUUAUACUGUGACAAUGCAUAUUGAGCUGUGCUGUGUCUCGCAAAAUUGGCACUGAUGCAACCUCACUAACAAGCUAGCGACUAAUAUCCCUUCACAGUACAAAGCUGUUUCCAAAUAAAAAACGGAAAUGACGCAGUAUGUUACUGCUUACAUAAUCAGGUAUAUUAGUAGCUUUUGUAACCAAUUUCAAAAUG